GCGGCACGUGCGAUCGCGCGCGCUCGCGCGCGCGAUCACGAAGCCCUGACGAGUAGGAGGGUCGCGGCGGUGAGCGCAGAAGGGCUGGCCGCGAGGCCGUCUGGAGCCGCCGUCGGUGCAGAUCUUGGUGGUAGUAGCAAAUACUCCAGCGAGGCCCUGGAGGACUGACGUGGAGAAGGGUUUCGUGUGAACAGCCGUUGCACACGAGUCAGUCGAUCCUAAGCCCUAGGCGAAAGCCGAUGUCGAUGCGGUGUAGCUUAAUUAUGGAUAUGCGACGACGGGGAGGAGAGUAAACGCGCGGCGGCCGUGGCCGCCGCGCGUCUCUCUCUCGCUCGCUCGCUUAUUUUUACGCGAAACCAAACACCCGUCGGGCGAAAGGGAAUCCGGUCCUAUCCGGAACC
rnacentral:rRNA from 1 species